UAAGUGCUGAAAGCAUAAGUGCUGAAAGCAUCUAAGCACGAAACUUGCCCCGAGAUGAGUUCUCCCUGAGACUUAGAGUCUCCUGAAGGAACGUUGAAGACGACGACGUUGAUAGGCCGGGUGUGUAAGCGCAGCGAUGCGUUGAGCUAACCGGUACUAAUGAACCGUGAGGCUUAACCUU
rnacentral:rRNA from 1 species